GCAUGCCUAUGUUGGUGGAGCUUCUUGGCAGGGGCAGUUCUCCGGGGUGGUGUUGUGGGGUUCCCUGGUUGGCGUGAUGCCGGAUUGGGCCGCAGGACAACCCGGGUAGUGGCAUCUGCGUGGUGUAGGUGGUUAUGUCGGUGGUUGUGUUCGGCGCUCUACUUCCCCUCAGAUCCAGCUCGUUGUUGGUUUGCUGGAUCCUUUGGGACGGUGGUGACACGGUCAUGUCGGAGGCCGUGAUGGCACGAUGGUGCCGUGGACGACACGAUGGUGGCUGCAAGUUGGUGAUUUUCAUCUGUGGAUGUUGUUGUGGCUCGACUAGCAUGCUCUUAGUUUCGGUGGUCAUGGUCUUCCAUUGCCGGUGGUCUUCUCCGGUGUUGGUUGAGCCCCUUCCCUCGGGGCUCGUUCAGGUGAAGGGUGAAUGGCUCUGGGAGAAAUCCUUGCUUCCGAUGGGGAUCGAUUAUCGGCGAUAAAGGUGCGUUGGCGCCUUUUCCUUUGGAAUCAUCAUCGAAGGGUUCCUUCCCCUCUACUAGGCUAUGGUUGAUCAUACUUCGGGUUGUCAUGGUAGUUGUUGG
rnacentral:lncRNA from 1 species